rnacentral:tRNA from 1 species
GACGACGUAGCUCAGCGGCAGAGCGUCCCCGGUCCGGGUUCCGAGGGAAGGCGCGGGUUCGAGUCCCGCCGUCGUCU